GUUAAGGUGGCAGAGCCCGGUAAUUGCGUAAAACUUAAAACUUUAUUUUCAGAGAUUCAAAUUCUCUCCUUAACA
rnacentral:tRNA from 1 species